ACGGUACCCAGUGAAGAAGCCCCGGCUAACUCCGUGCCAGCAGCCGCGGUAAUACGGAGGGGGCUAGCGUUGUUCGGAAUUACUGGGCGUAAAGGGCGCGCAGGCGGGCGGGAAAGUUGGAGGUGAAAUCCCGGGGCUCAACCCGGGAUGUGCCCUUGAUACUGACUGACUGGAGUUCGAAAGAGGAGUGUGGAAUUCCCAGUGUAGAGGUGAAAUUCGUAGAUAUUGGGAGGAACACCAGUGGCGAAGGCGGCUCUCUGGUUCGAUUCUGACGCUGAGGCGCGAAAGCGUGGGUAGCAAACAGGAUUAGAUACCCUGGUAGUCCACGCCGUAAACGAUGAGCGCUAGCCGUGGGUCUGCAUGCUGUUCAGUGUCACAGUUAACGCAUUAAGCAUUCCGCCUGGGGAGUACGAUCGCAAGGUU
rnacentral:rRNA from 1 species